AGCUCUGUAGCUCAAUGGUAGGGCAACGGACUUUGAAUCCGUGAUUUGAUGGUUCGAAUCCAUCCAGGGCUG
rnacentral:tRNA from 1 species